rnacentral:tRNA from 1 species
AUUUAAAUAAUUUAAAUAAAAUAUUGAUUUGUGGUAUCAAAAAUGUAAUAUAAAUUACUUUAAAUU